CACCCCUAUUCCUCCCCGGGGCCAUUCCCGCUCAACGAGUUUUAUGACCUAAAAAACCCCACAGGCUGGUCUGAAGAGGAAGACACUUAAAGAUGAAGUGCUUAAUUCAAGGUCACAGAAUGUCGGGGAUGGACCUCCAGAUUUCCUUACUGGAAAACAAGCUCAGGGCUCCCACUGAUUGUACAUUAUGACCAAGUGUGUUGGGGACUUGAGAUAUGUACAUGAGUGUUUGUGAUGUUUCCUGGUGAAAGCACAGGUGAGACGUGGUCUUGUAACACAGUGGUUAAGAAUGUGACUUUGGAGCCAGCCUGCUAGGGGCUGAAUUCUGACUCAGCCAUUUAUUAACUGUGUGACCUUAGGUCAUAGAAUUUUCCACACUCCUUGACGGAGGUUCUUAACCCUUAUCCAUCAGCAUUCUCAGACAGCACCUCCGGUUAGGGACAGUAUCUGACCGUCCGACAUCCCUGCAGCCCCCAUGCUGUCACACAGACUCAGCCUCAGGUAGAUGGUUUCCGUAGAUGGUGGCUUUCUUUGGACCCUUGAUAUCAACCAGUUACUAUUUGGGGACCAGAUGUGCAGAGGUAAUGAAUACCAGGGAAUCAGGAAACCACUGGAUCAGUUCUUUGAGCCAUAGAACAACACUCAUCCCAGCAGCUGGGAAGCUAUCUGC
rnacentral:antisense_RNA from 1 species